rnacentral:lncRNA from 1 species
GUUCAGAAGAAAGUGUGGAUUAAAAUACCCUCAUGGGAUUUUAUACAUGGAUCAGUAGGAUACGUAUCUGGCUUUUCUUCUUUUUUUAAACCGACUUACAGAUACAGCAAGGAAAGAGUUAUUUAUUGGACUAGGUAUUAAUGGUGUGAUAACAGAUAAGCUUGUAUUUGGAAGUGGAACCACUCUCACAGUCGAACCAAGCAAUCAGAAAGAUUCUGACCCAGAAGUCAUUCUGAUAAAAUCAAAGCCACUUGAAGAAGGUGGCAGUACUGGGAAAGCAGCUUGUUUGGCAAGGAAUUUCUAUCCAAAGAAUAUCAAUUUGGACAUGUUACCUGCUGAAGUCAUAUAUGAACAGAAUACACCUAUUGUGACAUCAGAAGGGACAUAUAAUACUAUUAAAGUGGUCAACGUGACAAAAGCCUCAGAGGUAUCCUGCACGGCCAAGUUCAAGGGCAAUUUUUUUCCAGCCAAUGCAACAUCAUCAGAAAAGGUGGUUGAAGAACCAAUAACAGCAAAUGUUUGCAACACAACAGACACCUCUUCAAAAGGUUAGUUAACUAAAGGGAUUAUAAAAAUAUGUUACUAUGUUGGGGAUAAAAGCCUGGAAAUGUAUUUUCUCAGGGACAGAGAAAUCAGAAUACCAUGUAUUCAUUGUAUUUAUUAAAUAUAACCUGCUUUUUCUGGGUAACUAUUUUAGUAACAGACAAGUUUUGUUAUAGUUACAAAGUACCAGGAGGAAAAAAAACAGUGGUCAAUGGCUCUAUGUCCAGGUGGAGGUCAGUGGCGAGCGGUGUCCCUCAGGAGUGUGUCUUGGGACUGGUGUUACUUAAUAUCUUCAUCAAUGAUAUAGA